GCACACUGUUGGGCUCCUGCAGAAGACGGAACACCAACCUGACCCCCCUGGAGAGAAUGGAGAACACAUGCUGCCCUUUGGAAGUUUUGCAUCGAUUUGGGUUUGCACCCCCCCAGGCAGGCCAAACCCAGCCCUCUGAUCUUUGAGGACUCUGAUCUCUGAGGACUCUGGUCUCUGAGGACUCUGGUCUCUGAGGACUCUGAUCUCUGGUCUCUGAGGACUCUGGUCUCCGAGGACUCUGGUCUCUGAGGACUCUAGUCUCUGAGGACUCUGAUCUCUGGUCUCUGAGGACUCUGGUCUCUGAGGACUCUGGUCUCUGAGGACUCUAGUCUCUGGUCUCUGAGGACUCUGGUCUCUGAGGACUCUGGUCUCUGAGGACUCUGGUCUCUGCUCUCUGAGGACUCUGGUCUCUGAGGACUCUGGUCUCUGAGGAUUCUGGUCUCUGAGGACUCUGGUCUCUGAGGACUCUGGUCUCUGAGGACUCUGAUCUCUGAGGACUCUGGUCUCUGGUCUGUGAGGUCUCUGACCUCUGAGGACUCGGUCGAGACACCAGGUAGACCGGAGCGAGCCAAGGGAGGAUGAGGAGGUUUUUCAGAGCGCGAGACGAAGACUCCAGUCAGAUCCAGUACCUGACGGCCAAGUGUCACCGGCUGGCUCACGAGAGAGCCCAGCUUGAGAGGGACACCUUGGUGACCAGGGAGAGACAGCGGAGGCUACAGAAUGAUCUGGAAGCGAUGGGCGCUCACCUCCAGCAGAAGGAGCAGAUGAUUGUGGAGCUGAGGAGAAAACAGGACUACCUGGUGGACCACCUCAACCGACAGCAGGGCCUGGUGGAAUUCCUUAAGCAUCAUGCGGGCCUGAGAGCGGAGGUGGGCCCUACGGCGGAGGAGAACUUGAGAGACACCGAGCUGCUGGCUACGGAGCUGGAGCAGCUCCGCUCUGAGCUGCUGGCGCUGCAGAGCUCCGACGGGCAGCUGGUGGGCCUGGUGGAGGAGCUCUACGCUGAGGCCCAGCACAGAGCAGCACUGGUAGACAGCCUCCAGGAGGAGCUGCACAGUAAAUCAACGGAGGUCGAGGACCUGCGGAGACACCGGCAGAAACAGAGAGAGGAGCUGGAGCAGCUCCAGAGCGCCCACCAGAGGAAGGUGUGUGUGCUGCAGCAGGAGAACAGCAGCAGUGUUCAGAAGCUGCAGCAGACAGCCGUUCAGUUCGAGCGGCUCUGCAAACAGCAGCGCUACUGGAUGCUCUGUGUCAAAAGGUACAAAGACUGUCUGACGGAGGAGAGGGAGGCGGUGGUUCAGCAGGUCAGUGACCUGGAGCAGACCGUCCUGAAGCCCAGGGGAUGUUCCCACUGCAGCAGACAGUACCACUGCCCCCUGCAGGACAGGGGCAGCAACUCCAGGCAUCGGCACCAGUCUAUGUGUGGUGCAGAGUUCCGGGCUGACCAGCAGGGGGAGCCGUGGUCAGCCCUGUGUGAGGACAAAGUCAUCACUCAGUUUUCGCCACUGAGCCCGAGGAUCCGAUACCGCUGGACUGCAGACGAGUGCAACAGGCGUGACAUGGGAGAGAUUAAUUUGCAUGGAUAAUAUUUAUUCGAGGACAGCUGCAGUAAACCAAACAGCCUGCCUCCAGAUUUCAGAGCCCUGAUACAUCUUGGG
ensembl:lncRNA